rnacentral:rRNA from 1 species
CGCGGGAUUAGAGUUUGAUCAUGGCUCAGAUUGAACGCUGGCGGCAGGCCUAACACAUGCAAGUCGAGCGGAAACGAGAAUAGCUUGCUAUUCGGCGUCGAGCGGCGGACGGGUGAGUAAUGCCUGGGAAAUUGCCCUGAUGUGGGGGAUAACCAUUGGAAACGAUGGCUAAUACCGCAUAAUAGCUUCGGCUUAAAGAGGGGGACCUUCGGGCCUCUCGCUUCAGGAUAUGCCCAGGUGGGAUUAGCUAGUUAGUGAGGUAAAGGCUCACCAAGGCGACGAUCCCUAGCUGGUCUGAGAGGAUGAUCAGCCACACUGGAACUGAGACACGGUCCAGACUCCUACGGGAGGCAGCAGUGGGGAAUAUUGCACAAUAGGCGCAAGCCUGAUGCAGCCAUGCCGCGUGUAUGAAGAAGGCCUUCGGGUUGUAAAGUACUUUCAGCAGUGAGGAAGGGUGUGUAGUUAAUAGCUGCAUACUUUGACGUUAGCUGCAGAAGAAGCACCGGCUAACUCCGUGCCAGCAGCCGCGGUAAUACGGAGGGUGCGAGCGUUAAUCGGAAUUACUGGGCGUAAAGCGCAUGCAGGUGGUUUGUUAAGUCAGAUGUGAAAGCCCGGGGCUCAACCUCGGAACCGCAUUUGAAACUGGCAGGCUAGAGUACUGUAGAGGGGGGUAGAAUUUCA